rnacentral:rRNA from 1 species
GUGGGGAAUAUUGGACAAUGGGCGAAAGCCUGAUCCAGCCAUGCCGCGUGUGUGAAGAAGGUCUUCGGAUUGUAAAGCACUUUCAGUUGGGAGGAAGGGCAGUAAGUUAAUACCUUGCUGUUUUGACGUUACCGACAGAAUAAGCACCGGCUAACUUCGUGCCAGCAGCCGCGGUAAUACGAAGGGUGCUAGCGUUAAUCGGAAUUACUGGGCGUAAAGCGCGCGUAGGUGGUUUUGUAAGUUGGAGGUGAAAUCCCCGGGCUCAACCUGGGGACUGCCUCCAAAACUGCAUGACUAGAGUACGGUAGAGGGUAGUGGAAUUUCCUGUGUAGCGGUGAAAUGCGUAGAUAUAGGAAGGAACACCAGUGGCGAAGGCGACUACCUGGACUGAUACUGACACUGAGGUGCGAAAGCGUGGGGAGCAAACAGGAUUAGAAACCCGAGUAGUCC